rnacentral:rRNA from 1 species
UCCGUAGGCGGGCAAUUAAGUCAGAGGUGAAAUCCCACAGCUCAACUGUGGAACUGCCUUUGAUACUGGUUGUCUUGAGUUACAGUGAAGUAGAUAGAAUAUGUAGUGUAGCGGUGAAAUGCAUAGGUAUUACAUAGAAUACCGAUUGCGAAGGCAGUCUACUAACUGUAUACUGACGCUAAUGGACGAAAGCGUGGGGAGCGAACAGGAUUAGAUACCCUGGUAGUCC